rnacentral:rRNA from 1 species
AUGGAAACCUGCCGUUCGCACGCUGGCAGUUCGCUCCUACUCGUCUCCGCACGUCCUUCAAUACUACGGCGGUUCGCUCCUAGUCGUCCCGUCCAUUCACAUUACGGCAGUUCCACUAAUCCUAACCCUCCUCCCAAAUGCACGGCGUCCCAAAUCUCCACGAUCGGCGGUGAGUACAAGGUUAGAACCAUCAACGGCGAUGAGUUCGACGUCAUCUACACCCGUUCUUCCACGACUGUGAAAGGAUGCCUUUCUCGCUUCAGACGCAUGUUCGAAAACUCAGAUGAUGAGUGGGUCGUUGGGCUAGAUGUUGAGUACACGGUCCUGGGACGAGAGAAGGAUCUAAAGGACGAAGAGAGGAAGAAGCCCGCCGUGAUCCAGGUUUGCAUACAUAACGUUUGCUUGGUCUACCACAUAUGCCAUGCCAACGUUGAGUGCCAGGAUUUUAAGAACUUCCUCAAGGACAAAACAGUGAAAUUCGUUACUGUAGACUUUACGAACGACGAAGAAGUCCUGGGUCGGAUAGGCCUCGUUGUAGGCAACCCCUUCGACCUCCAGAAGAAUCGGCUGGUGCCCUCUCGUCAGCCUUCAAUGCUGACCCUGGCAGGAGCCAUGGUUCAUCCUUCGUAUGGUAAAUUGGAGAAACCUCCAUACACGUUUCAUCGUCAUGCAUGGCAGCGGAAUGUAUUGGAUAUAGACCACAUCCACUACGCUGCAAUGGAUGGCUACCUUUGUUUCAAUAUCUACAAGGAUUGGAUGAAGAGCAAUAGCCAAGUGUCGGUUCAAGCAAAGAAGUAUCGACCAAGAGGAAUAGGGACAAGGAUGAAGUCGAGGACGUGGACGAGGACUCCGAGUAAGGUGACAGUGUCGUUGCUCAUGGUGGUUCUAAACUUCUAA